rnacentral:tRNA from 1 species
AUUUAUAUAGUAUAAAAAUUAUAAUUGAUUUCCAAUCAAAAGAUCUAAUUAUAUUUAGUAUAAAUA